GAGAAGAGAAGAAGAAGAAGAAUGAGUUGUGUGUAUUUUGAAGAAAAUCACAUUACUCACACAUAACUUGCUUUCAUUUUACUUUCUGUUCUUACUCGAAACUGUGGUGGAUGAGUUGCUCAAGAGGCAUGUGUUUAUGCAAUUGUUUGUGCAUCCUUUUGUUUGUUACUGGACUUUGUCUGCAGAAAUUGUUUUGCACUAUUAGUUGUCAAUUUAAUCUCUGAGCUAUUGUUCCCUUUGUAAUCCUGUG
rnacentral:misc_RNA from 1 species